rnacentral:rRNA from 1 species
UGAGUAACACGUGGGCAACCUGCCCUUUGCACUGGGAUAGCCUCGGGAAACCGAGGUUAAUACCGGAUACUCCAUAUUUGUCGCAUGGCGAAUAUGGGAAAGCUCCGGCGGCAAAGGAUGGGCCCGCGGCCUGUUAGCUAGUUGGUGGGGUAGUGGCCUACCAAGGCAAUGAUGGGUAGCCGGGUUGAGAGACCGACCGGCCAGAUUGGGACUGAGACACGGCCCAGACUCCUACGGGAGGCAGCAGCU